GACGAACGCUGGCGGCGUGCCUAAUACAUGCAAGUAGAACGCAGUUGCGAACGGGUGAGUAACGCGUAGGUAACUGCCUCAUAGCGGGGGAUAACCAUUGGAAACGAUAGCUAAUACCGCUUACUGUGAGAUGGACCUGCGUUGUAUUAGGUAGUUGGUGGGGCAAAGGCUCACCAAGGCGACGAUACAUAGCCGGCCUGAGAGGGGUGACGGCCAAGAUGGGACUGAGAAACGGGCCAGGCUCCUACGGGGAGCAGCAGUGGGGGAACUUCGGAAAAGGAGGGAAGGCUGACCGAGCAACGCCGCGUGGGUGAAGAAGGUUUUCGGAUCGUAAAGCUCUGUUGAUAGAGAAGCGGUAACUAACCAGAAAGGGACGGCUAACUACGUGCCAGCAGCCGCGGUAAUUC
rnacentral:rRNA from 1 species